UUUAUUACUCAGUUUGAGUGGGAAAGCUAGUUUGUAGUUGGGGUUGAAUUAAAGGAAGUUCAGCAGGUGGAGAGGGAUUAUGUCUGGUCAAUAGGUCUUAGAGCAGAUACUUGGAGUGCUUAUCAAACUUGUUAAGGAUUUGAAGUUGGAUCAUCAGCAUAAAUAUGAUGAGCUGCAGAAGACAUGGCUCUGUAAAAGAUGCGAGACCAUGAGUGCAAAAUUGAGGGAUUCUUCUACAGAAUCGAUUUUGUAUUUGUAAUUAGCCAACCAACAGCGACGACAGACAAGCUUCUUCUUCUUUUAUGGCGGCGAUUUUUCGGGCUUUGAAGGUCAUUCAUGGCAGAGGUGGAAGGGAUUGGAUUCAAGAGCGUCAAAAUCUGUGGCUAAUCAAAACGAUAGUGGAAGUACCGCCAGCAAACAAAACAGCGAAGAUGCUUGAAGAUAUCGCAUCGACAAUAACAGAAUAAUGGAAGAUUCGAUCAAGUUUUCUGAGUACUUUUAUAGUGCAAAGAUCGUCGUGUGUUAAACGAGGGAAUUAGUUUUGUUUGUCAGUGUCAAUUUGUUUAUUCAACCUAUGACCAAAAAAUAAUAAUAACAAUAAUAAAUAAAUUUAAUUUACCUGAUAACUUUUGAUAAUAGGUUAAUUUUUAAAGAGUGCUGCACUCUCUACUUUAUCUGGAGUGCACUAGCUUUCGCCGUUAAAGAUGGCAUAAAUUGAUAACUUUUGAUAAUAGAUUAAUUUUUAAAGAGUGCUGCACUCUCUACUUUAUCUGGAGUGCACUAGCUUUCGCCGUUAAAGAUGGCAUAAAUUGAAAUUUCCAGAUUAGCUGGUUUGCCUCGCGUUUCAUAUUA